UUGGGAAGUCACUUAACCUUCCUGGGCCUCAAUUUCUUUAUCUGUAAAAUGGAAAUCAUAAUACCUCUUUUAUAGGAUUAUAGUGAGGAUUACACAAAACAAUAAUGGAGGGGGUAUGGGAGGAUGGGGUAUUUUAUUGCCUAUUUUUAUUGAAGUCGUAAUACUUAUACCAAGCAGCACCAGCCACCAAAUGUAGGGUCCAUAUAGUGCUGGCUAUUUGUCUUUUGGGUGGAAAAAAUUUUUUUCUUCUUCAAUUCAGUUUCCACUAGGUUUACUUCUUUUUUCUUUCCUUUCUUUCUUUCUUAACUUGAAACACUGUGCCUCUGGGCUGCCACCUCCAGUCCUAGUCCUUUUUCCUCUUCCCUAGGGGUAUCCACUGAAACUGGUUGUGUGCCAAGACCUUUUAAUGUAACCUUAUAAUGUACUCUAAUAGCUGGUAGGUUUUUGAAAGUAAAUGAUAAACUCUAUUUUACACUGAAACUUGGCUUUUUUUCCACCUAACUUUGUAUUCAAGAGAUUUGUUCAGGCUAAUGCAUAUACAUCCGUCUUAUUCUUUUAAACAACUGUAUGGUAUUCAAAAUAUGAAUGAAUCAUAGCCAUUGGAUAUUUUAGUUGUUUAUAUACAUUUACUUUUACUACAGUCCUGAAUGAAGUGUAUUUUACAUACCUUCUCUACUAAAGCACAUGUGUAUUUCCAAAGUAGUUGAGGUCUCAAGGUAAUAUUGUUCGGCCAAAAGGUGUGCUUCCCUGGGUUCUUCAGGGCUUUGCAAUUGCCAGCUUCAUGUAACCCUAACCAGUUCUCAGCCAACCUCCUUUCUCUGUUUGAAUACUCCAUCCCUUUAUUUUUUGUAGUCUCUACGUGCAGGUCAAGUGUGUAGCACAUAUUUGAGGAGGUCUAGGAAAGCUUUGUUAUUUUUUUAGCUGUUUGGUCUCUGGAACCCAUGGACUUUGUCAGUGUGGAGGGACACCUAUCAAUAUUGUAACUAGAAAAGUUGGCAAAGGUAAAAGGUAAAUUUGAUGCCUUUAAGAAGUGGCUCUGAUAAUGUCCAAAUUAAUAAUUUCUACUUUUGUUUUCUGAUGAAAUAAUCAGAAAUCUUAAUUUUUCUAUUUUGUACAGCUAAUAAAAUAGUAGUGAUUUUAUAUCCAGACUACUUAGUAAUAAUUUUCUACCUUUUUUUCUGGAUGAACAUUAAUAAUCAGGAAUCUCAGUUUUUUUAUUUUGUAUAACUUAAAACAGAAUACUGAUGAAAGAAUUGAAAGAAUAAUGAUGCUAAAGCAGUAAGGUGUCAGUGAAAAAUCACAUGGAAAAAUACUCAUCUGUGAUGAGCUUUAAGCCUUCUUUGCAUUUUAUGAAAUUGAAAAUGACCCAUUGUAUUCUGAUGGAGCUUGCAGUGAGACCAAAGGAAGAGAGAAAAUUUUCAAAGACUGUGCAAGGGAAGGUGCAGAGCAGUUAUCUACACUCACUUCUGGAAAUUGGAGAGCUGCUGAAAAAAAGACUGGAGACCACAAAGAAACUAAAAAUUUAAGGAAGUGUGAACCACAGGCACCAAUGACUCUACAGCAGAAAAUGACAUCAUCUUCCCAGGCAAAAGCUACAACUGGUUGACCAUCAUUUUAAUCCAGAACUUCCUCAUAAAAUGCAUGAAGGACUUUGAUUGUGAAUUAAUUUUUUAGGUAUUAAAUGUAUACAACUGAUUAAAUUAUUGUAUAUAAAGCAGAAGCAGGACCCUCAUCUGGGUUUGACCACUUUUUAUACAUGUUCAUAUGCAUAUGGCAGCCUCAAGAGAGCCCCACUUUUCUUCUUUCCUUCUAUCACCAGAAACAUCUGGUGGGUGGGUGCGGGGGGGGGGGUCCUAUAAAAGCAGCAAUAGAAAUUAAGCAUAAAGCAUUGACCUCAGAGCAGCUGAAUGGGCCUACCAUUAUCGUAGCGGGUGUUUGGUCUGGUCCUUGAGCCUUAGGAAGCAGAAAGCAGAAGUAUAGGGGGACCGUGACUGGGAGAAGGCCCUCUUUCCACAUUAGUUUAGUUUUGAGGCUUCCUCAGCUGCUUGGCUCCCACAGAACCCAAAGCAGGUACCCAAAGAGCCUCAGAUGAAAUUUGGCAUAAGCACCUGUCACUGAAGAGCACUACUCAGAUGACCACGGGCACUCAGUGUUUGGCUUAAUAGUCCAAAAGCCAAGAAAUCCCCAUCCUAGCUCCUGUGAAAGUUAAGUCACAGAUAGGCUUGUGUUAACUUACACCAUAUGGAGGGGAAAGCAGUGCAGACCACUUAUGAGCCUGCUGAGGACUAGCUUGCUGUCUUUCUCCAUCUUUGGGAAAGAUGGGAAUCACUGUUUAAAGAAGAGAGGUGUACAUAAUUUAUGCAAGCAAGUCUAAUACCAAUGUCAUUGGUUUUGUGAGAUAUAUAUAUAUGUAUAUGCUUUUACAUAUAUAUUUUCAAGCAUAUAUAUAUGCUUGAAAAUAGAUUUAAUACUUUAGUGUUUUUUAAGUGGGGGGUUUGGGGAGGAAGGAAGGAAUGUAUAUUAUGGACUUAACCUAGGUUUUAAGUUUUAGGCUGGCAAAAGAAAUGUUACCCAUUGGGUUUGACGUUUGGUCUACUUUCUUCAAACUUGAGAAUUACACCAGGAUGGUGUUUACAUUGCUUACCUGGAGCUCCCCAAGACUAUAGCUUCAGAGGUUGGUCUGACAGAAAAGAUAAACAUUGCUCUUGAAAGUGUUACACAGUUGAUAUAAUUGCUUUGAUAACUUUUUGCAUUUGAAUCUGUGCUUCUGUUUUUGGUCUUUGUUACUCAAAACACCAUUAAAGUUAGUAAUUCUGUAAGAGCAAAGAUACGAGUUUGAUGAGAAAAUUCAAGCAUCUGAUGGAGGGUUGAUUGGUCUUAAAGACCUUAUAGGUCCUUUCCUACUCCUCCAGUGAAAUGUGGUACUUUUUUCUUUUAAAAGGAAACAAGAGAGCUUGGGAAAUCUUUGUAUGCAAAACAAUUGCAUUUUGUCCCCUCAUCGUGACUUUCUUAGAUUCACAAUUUGAUAGGGUGAUUAAUAGCUGCUUAAACUUCCAAGGAGAUUUUUAAGAAAAUUACUACAUUAUCUGUUCAUAAUAAGACUUGCUGGAAAUCCUAGUCCAUCAAGUAAUUUCAAGAAGUUAUUUUUUGAUGUAAGUUGGUACCCACAGCCAUCAUACCCCAUCCCAAAUGGAAGAACUGCCUUGAACAAGAUGAGUUGAAAAUUCUUACUGAUUCCAAAUCUAAUUUAAUGACAACGUAUCAUAAUUUCAUAAAACUAUUGCCUAUUUAAAAUGAUGGAACUUGGUGUGUGUAUGAGGGUGGGGGUAUGUGUGUAUGGCAUGUGUUCUUGAAAUGAUGUUUCUUUGAAUAUCCAAAAAUACUGUACAUAGAAAUAGAAAUGCUCCAUGAAACAAGUCUUCAGCUGACCAUGGUCAAUCUAGCAUAUGUGUGGUCAGUGAGCUGGCUUUGGUCCUCAGGGACAGUGCUUGACUCCAGUGGUCUACCUAACUAGUCUUUUGCCUAGGGGCACCUGGGACCUCUCCUGGUUUUAGUGACAAAUAAUGUUAUGUUGAGGUUAUGCUUCCUUUGUUACUUGCUGACUUUCCUACUAAAUGUAGCAUUUCAAUUAGAUCCAACCUCUUACAUUUUGGGAUAAUUGUAAAAAGAAUGAAAUUAUGCAGAAAUGGCCAAUAUCUUUUAUUGAUCUGUUCUUUUGGAAACUGUUAUGCACUAUAAAUUGUGUACAGUUUAAAAAAAAAUAUAUAUAUAUAUAUAUAUUCUUACAUGAGUAAAAAGCACCCUCCAGCAAUUGUAUGUCAUUGGUAUUUGAAGAGAAUUCCCAAAUAACCCAUUGCUGCUGCUGCUGUUUUUGGUUUGUGUGGGUUUUUUGUUGUUGUUGUUGUGUUUGUUUUUGUGUGGUAAAUUGAUAAUUUAAAAAAAAAAAGGAAAGAAAAAACACGACUACUGUUUACAGACUGAAAAAUUACUGCUUUUUAUACUACUGAGAUCCUAAGUUAAGACUCUCCAAAGCAAACAUUUGGUUUAAAUCAUUUAUCUGAUGUGGAUAAAGCAUAGAGAAAUUUUUAGUGUUCUUCACAUAAUGGAAAAUGUACAAAUGCCUAGCUGUGUUGCCCAUCAAUUUUGUAUAUUUUCAUAAUUUUAAUUGUUCAAAAUUGCAUUAUAUUUUGCAAUCACUAUGUUCAACCUGGAUUUGUCUUUCAUUUAAACUUUUAAUAUAAAAAGGGGUUUCAAUGUAUCUAUGGCCUUGUUAUUGAAACUCUUCCUACUUAUUUGAUGUCAUUUAUUAAUAUGGGAAGUAUAUAUUCUUCCUUCUUCAGAACUAAGUGAAGCAUACAUAGCCAAUUCAACUAGAUGGGUUAAUUUAUAUAAACACUUCCAUUUUAAGUUG